rnacentral:lncRNA from 1 species
UUAAAUGUAUUCCCGCAUUUUACUGGUGGGCGACCUAGAACUUAAAUGUAUUCCCUCAUUAUACUGGUGGGCGACCUAGAACUUAAAAUGUAUUCCCGCAUUAUACUGGUGGGCGACCUAGAACUUAAAUGUAUUCCCGCAUUAUACUGGUGGGCGACCUAGAACUUAAAAUAUAUUCCCGCAUUAUACUGGCGGGCGACCUAGAACUUAAAAUGUAUUCCCGCAUUAUACUGGCGGGCGACCUAGAACUUAAAAGUAUUCCCGCAUUAUACUGGUGGGCGACCUAGAACUUAAAAUUAUUAAAAUUGCUUCCCCGUUCUUCCGAGAAAAUUUUCGACAAUCGGCAGAAAAUUUUCUGCCCCGGUUUUGGUGACUUCCCUGGCGUUGCAUCUCGCUGUCAUUAUCAAUCCUUUGUUUUCCUGCAGCAGACAAAAGGAU